rnacentral:SRP_RNA from 1 species
GCCGGGCGCGGUGGCACGUGCCUGUAGUCCCAGCUACUUGGGAGGCUGAGGUAGGAGGAUUGCUUGAGCCCAGGAGUUAUGGGCUGUAGUGAGCUAUGCUGAUCGGGUGUCUGCACUAAGUUCGGCAUCAAUAUGGCGACCUCCUGGGGGCGGGGGACCACCAGGUUGCCCCUGGAGGGGUGAACCGGCCCAGGUCGGAAAAGGAGCAGGUCAAAACUCCCAUGCUGAUCAGUAGUGAAAUCACGCCUGUGAAUAGCCACUGCACUCCAGCUUGGGCAACACAGCGAGACCCCGUCUCUU